rnacentral:rRNA from 1 species
UGCGUAGGCGGUUUGUUAAGUCUGUUGUGAAAUCCCCGGGCUCAACCUGGGAAUGGCAAUGGAAACUGGCUAGCUAGAGUGUGUCAGAGGAUGGUGGAAUUUCCGGUGUAGCGGUGAAAUGCGUAGAGAUCGGAAGGAACAUCAGUGGCGAAGGCGGCCAUCUGGGACAACACUGACGCUGAAGCACGAAAGCUGGGGAGCAAACA